rnacentral:lncRNA from 1 species
UUUUUUUUUUUAUGAUUUUUAUUUUUUCCAUUACAGUUGAUUCAUAGUGUUAUGUCAAUUUCUACUGUACAGCCAAGUGACCCAGUCAUUCAUAUAUUCUUUUUCUCACAAUAUCCUCCAUGUUCCAUCACAAGUGACUGGAUAUAGUUCCCAGUGCUAUGCAGCAGAAUCUCAUUGCUUAUCCACUCCAAAUGCAGUAGUUUGCAUCUUUUAACAUCAGAUUCCCAGUCCAGCCCACUCCCUCCCCCUCCCACCCCCCUUGGCAACCACAAGUCUAUUUUCCAAGUCCAUCAGUUUCUUUUCUGUGGAAAGGUUCAUUUGUGCUGUAUAUUAGAUUCUAGAUAUAAGUGAUAUCAUAUGGUAUUUGUCUUUCUCUCUCUGUCUUACUUGACUUAGUAUGAGAAUCUCUAGUUCUAUCCAUAUUGCUGCAAGUGGCAUUAUUGUGUUCCUUAUGGCUGAGUAGUAUUCCAUUGUGUAUAUGAACCACAUCUUCUUAGUCCAUUCAUCUGUCCAUGGACAUUUGGUUGUUCCCAUGUCUUGGCUAUUGUGAAUAGUGCUGCAAUGAACAUGCAUUGUGCAUGUGUCUCUUUCAAGGAAAGUUUUGUCCAGAUAUAUGCCCAGGAGUGGGAUUGUUGGGUCAUAUGGUAGUUUUUUAUUUAGUUUUCUGAGCUACCUCCAUACUGUUUUCCAUAGUUGUACCAAUUUACAUUCCCACCAACAGUGCAGCAGGGUUCCCUUUUCUCUACACUCUCUCCAGCAUUUGUUACUUGUUGACUUGUUAAUGAUGGUCCUUCUGACCAGUGUAAGAUAGUACCUCAUUUGUAGUUUUGAUUUGCAUUUCUCUAAUAAUCAGUGAUGUUGAGCAUUUUUUUCUGUCCUUUCCCAGCUUUCUUUCUCUUCCAGAGACUUUGACUUCGAAAGUUUUUUCUUUUGGUAUUAAUCUUUAUGUAAAUAAUAUGCGUAUUCUACUAUUGCUUGAUUUAACACUUUUAGACAUUAUUGAUAAUAUUACCUGAUGAUUUAGUUAACACGCAUACCUCCCCUUCUUUGUAUAGUUGUCAUAAUAUUUAAUAAACACAUUAGCUGUUUAAUUAUGACUUCAAAAAUACUGUACACUGUAGAGCAAAGCAGACCUCCAAGGUUACACUUUGUACAUUUUUAUUUUUCCUAGAAUUAAUAACUGCCUCAUUUUUAACAUUUACAUAACUUUCUGGAGACCUGUCUUAAAAACUUCUGGCUUCUCUGGCAGGUGCACCAUGUUCUCAUCACUAGUCUUAAAGGAUUUUUGUCCCCCAAUAUCAGAUAACAUGUUUUCCUGCUUUUACUCAAAAGGUCUGUUCUGCAUUUGUCCUUCUUUGCCAGUCUGUCCUGCUUGUUUUUCUGGCUACACAGCCAUUAUCUCAGACCCUCUUCUUGUCAUUCUCCUGUGUUGGAUCUGCUGUUUCCUAGUUUAUUCACAUUUGUUGGAGCACUUCCUGUGACACUUAAAACUCCUUUAGAAAUGGUGUAGAAGAAGCAGACUCUCCGAAUCCUUAAUAUGUGUAAAAUGUCCUUAUUCUACUCUCAUGUUUUAUUGAUAGUUGACUACAAUAAAUUAAGAAUAACUUUCCCCCAGCAUUUUGAAGGCAUUGCUUCACUCUUCUUUCAUUGUUGCAUUUGAAAAAUCUGAUCAUAUCCUAGAUUGAUAUGGACUGCCUAGAUUGAUGCUUAAUUUGCUUCUCUCUUUUUCUUUUAUCACUGCACCUGCAGGUUAUGGAAGUUCCUAGACAGGGACCAAAAUGGAAUUUCACCUGCAGGCCUACGUCACAGGCAUAGCACCUUGCAGCAACACUGAAUCCUUAACUCCGUGGAACCCACACCCUUAUGGAGACUGGUAUCAGGUUCUUAACCCACUGAGCCACAAUGAGAACUUAGUUUUCUUCUUUCUUUCUCCAAGUGUUUUGUCUCUAUUCUUUCUAGAUUUCUUCAUUUUGAUCUUCCAAAAUGGUCUUUCUAGAAAUAAAAUUAUCUAAUUUUCUAGAAAAUUAUCUUUCUAUUGAAUUUUUAAUAUAUUUUAAAAUAUUUUGACUUCUUAUUCUGUUUCUAAAGCAAACUAAUCUUAAUCCAUAGCUAAAAUCUUACUUUUCUGAGAAUAUAUAUAGAUGCAUAUAUAGUUUUACUUUUUCUUCCUACUCUUACACCAGGGUAUGUUGCUAUUUUCAGAUUUUCAUAUAGGUGACUUACCUUGCAUUUCUGGCUAGUCUGAGCAGUUUAUAUGAACAGACCCCAAAGACUCAUUGAAAGCUCUUUGUUUGUGGGCAGUGCCUGACUCUAGGCUUCACUAGCACAGUGCUGCUUAGAAAUGCCACUCAGUGCAUUAUUUGUUCCUGCUCAUGAUCAAAUGCUUAGACAAGUAAUAACUAAUUGGCAGGUCAGCAGCUCAAGGUAGAUUGGAUAUUGAGAAGCAUAGCUUUAGAGAAUGAUUGUCACGGAGCCAGUCACUUAUUUGGAGGUCUUUUCUGUGGGACUGUCCAUUUUCUCUAGGGUCUUAAUGCAGAAGUUAGAGUUUGAAAGAGGAUCUACCUGUCAUUGCUUUGAACUCUCUUCUGCCUCGUCCUUCAGCUUCUGUUUCCCACAUCACACAUUUCACUACACCUGUCCCUUUGCUUAUGCUUUCCACCUAGUUGUCUGCCAGUACUUCUUCCACAUAAAAAUCUCUGGUCUUUUACCUGUGGGAGACAGUGCCAGAGGUAAGAGAUUGUAUUGGGCAAGAGGAGUAGGGCAGAGAUUGUAGGGACCUGACUGUUCUGUAUGUUUUUUUUCUGCAUCCACAUUUUCAGACUCCCAUCUUUCCAUAAGUUGUACCUUCAAGUGUGAGCUUCUCAGGGCUUUUGGAACCAAACAACAUGUUUCUGGAGUUUCUGUUGUGGCCCAGCAGUAAUGAACCCGACUAGUAUCCAUAAGGACGCGGGUUCAAUCCCUGGGGAUUGAACUCAGUGGGUUAAGGAUCCAGUGUUGCUGUGAGCUGUGGUGUAGGUCACAGACACGGCUCAGAUCCUGUAUUGCUGUGGCUGCGGUUUAGGCUGACAGCUGCAGCUCUGAUUCAACCCCUAGCCUGGGAACUUCCAUAUGCCGCAGGUGCAGCCCUAAAAA